AUGGGUGAUGUUGAGAAGGGCAAGAAGAUUUUUGUUCAGCAGUGUGCCCAGUGCCAUACUGUGGAAAAGGGAGGCAAGCACAAGACUGGGUCAAAUCUUCAUGGUUUAUUUGGGAGAAAGACUGGUCAGUCCCCUGGAUUUUCUUACACAGAUGCCAACAAGAACAAAGGCAUCACCUGGGGAGAGGAGACAUUGAUGAGUAUUUGGAGAAUCCCAAGAAGUGCAUCCCUGGAACCAAAAUGAUCUCCACUGACAUUAAAAAGACAGGGGAAAGAGCAGACUUGAUAGCUUAUCUCAAAAAAGUGACUAAGGAGUAAUAGUUGGCCAUUGCCUUAUUUAUUAAAAAACAAAACUGUUUCACGACUUUUUUUUUAUGUGUACCAUAUUUAAAUUGAUCUCAUACACCAGAAUUCAGAUCAUGAAUGGCUGAUAGAAUACUUCUUUUAGACAGUCCUGAUUU